rnacentral:rRNA from 1 species
GGGCCCGCACAAGCAGUGGAGCAUGUGGUUUAAUUCGAAGCAACGCGAAGAACCUUACCAGGGCUUGACAUCCUACUAAUUCUACAGAGAUGUGGAAGUGCCUGCUUGCAGGAAAGUAGAGACAGGUGGUGCAUGGUUGUCGUCAGCUCGUGUCGUGAGAUGUUGGGUUAAGUCCCGCAACGAGCGCAACCCCUAUUACCAGUUGCCAGCACGUAAAGGUGGGAACUCUGGUGAAACUGCCGUAGAGAAUACGGAGGAAGGUGGGGAUGACGUCAAAUCAUCAUGCCCCUUAUGUCCUGGGCUACACACGUGCUACAAUGGGUGUUACAGAGGGAAGCGAAGUAGUGAUAUGGAGCCAAACCCAGAAAGGCACCCACAGUUCGGAUUGUAGGCUGCAACCCGCCUACAUGAAGCUGGAAUUGCUAGUAAUCGCAGAUCAGAAUGCUGCGGUGAAUACGUUCCCGGGCCUU